AUGCAGAGAUACCUUUCACAACUUGAUUCACAUGUUUGGAUCAUUUGCAUCGAUGGAUUCAGAGUACUACUCCUGGCACUCCCUUUUUCUUGGCUUGCUGAAGAAAGAAAGCAACCAACCAACAAAUUUAGAGGAGGGGCUCGCAAGCAAGCAAGCAGGCCAAGAGAGCAAAGGAGGGGCUUACCAUCAGCAAUGUGGGAGCCGGGCGAGGUAGCGCUUGCUGAGACGAUCGAUGGAGAUGCCGAGGUCGCCGGGCGUGGGGGGGCGUUUUGGUUUCUUGGCCUGCUGAAGCAGCCGAAGGCGGUCCACGACGGCGCGUGCUUCGAGCUGGACGAGCGUGACGUCGUGUGGCUGGCCGGCGGUAGCGAUGGGGACGUGGACGGGUGGUCGGCCACGCUUCCAGCUGAGGCGGCGGUGCCCCCGCGGCGCGUCGCUCGGCGCACGCCGAGCCACAGAGCUUUGAGCUGUCGUCGGUGUCGGGGAGCUGUUGUCACCCUGGUCGUGCCUGUGAGGCCGGGUCACAGCGCCGCGGCACAUCAGGGGCGACAACGACUGAGCCAACCAAUAGGCAACAACGGCCCAAGAGGGAGAGGCGCCGGUGACGCGGGUGAGGCAGAGGUGCCGGCGAGGCGUGCGAGGGAGAGGCCGCGGAGGCAGUGGGAGACGAGGCCGCCGGUUGUGCGGCUGUGGGGGCGAGAGUGGAGGGAGCGUGGGUGA
rnacentral:rRNA from 1 species